UAAUCUCACCAUCCAACUCUGUGUUGGCAUGUUGUGGAUUUGGAUGCUGCCGUGUCACACUGGCUCAUCUGAAAUGCCCGAGUACAUCCUGGAUUGUGAUGCGUGUUCGGUGUGAUAAACUUUCACCGUCUUUGAUCCCAGCGGUCACACUCUCACCCCCAAGGCUCUGUGCUUCCAACCGUCUCGAUCAGACAAUUUUGACA
rnacentral:misc_RNA from 1 species